rnacentral:rRNA from 1 species
UACGGAGGGGGCUAGCGUUGUUCGGAAUUACUGGGCGUAAAGCGCACGUAGGCGGCUUUGCAAGUCAGAGGUGAAAGCCCGGAGCUCAACUCCAGAACUGCCUUUGAGACUGCAUCGCUUGAAUCCAGGAGAGGUGAGUGGAAUUCCGAGUGUAGAGGUGAAAUUCGUAGAUAUUCGGAAGAACACCAGUGGCGAAGGCGGCUCACUGGACUGGUAUUGACGCUGAGGUGCGAAAGCGUGGGGAGCAAACAGGG